rnacentral:rRNA from 1 species
GUCCAUGCCGUAACGUUGGGCACUAGGUGUGGGCUCAUUCCACGAGUUCCGUGCCGCAGCAAACGCAUUAAGUGCCCCGCCUGGGAGUACGGCCGCAAGGCUAAACUCAAAGAAUUUACGGGGCCCGCACAAGCGGCGGAGCAUGCGGAUUAAUUCGAUGCAACGCGAAGAACCUUACCAAGGCUUGACAUACACCGGAAAGUGCAGAGAUGUGCUCCCGCAAGGUCGGUGUACAGGUGGUGCAUGGUUGUCGU